rnacentral:misc_RNA from 1 species
GAACGCAUCUUGCGCCCCUUGGUAUUCCGAGGAGCAUGCCUGUUUGAGUGUCAUGUAGACUCAAUCCCUCGGGUUUCCGAGGAGAUUGGACUUGGGUGUUGCCGCUCUGCCGGCUCGCCUUAAAAGACUUAGCGGGAUAGCACCGUAGUCGGCGUAAUAAGUUUCGUCGGUGAAGGUUGUGAUGACUGCUUACAAUCGCCCUCGGGCAAUUUUUGACUCUGACCUCAAAUCAGGUAGGACUACCCGCUGAACUUAAG